rnacentral:rRNA from 1 species
GAUGAACGCUGGCGGCGUGCCUAAUACAUGCAAGUCGAGCGAACAGACGAGGAGCUUGCUCCUCUGACGUUAGCGGCGGACGGGUGAGUAACACGUGGAUAACCUACCUAUAAGACUGGGAUAACUUCGGGAAACCGGAGCUAAUACCGGAUAAUAUAUUGAACCGCAUGGUUCAAUAGUGAAAGACGGUUUUGCUGUCACUUAUAGCUGGAUCCGCGCCGCAUUAGCUAGUUGGUAAGGUAACGGCUUACCAAGGCGACGAUGCGUAGCCGACCUGAGAGGGUGAUCGGCCACACUGGAACUGAGACACGGUCCAGACUCCUACGGGAGGCAGCAGUAGGGAAUCUUCCGCAAAGGGCGAAAGCCUGACGGAGCAACGCCGCGUGAGUGAUGAAGGUCUUCGGAUCGUAAAACUCUGUUAUUAGGGAAGAACAAAUGUGUAAGUAACUAUGCACGUCUUGACGGUACCUAAUCAGAAAGCCACGGCUAACUACGUG